UCCCUGGAAUUAGCCAAAAUCAACAAGAAGCCAAAGGACAGGAGAACUUCUUGAUGCAGUACAUAGACAUCAGCUUCCCAUGUCACCAAGCCGAAUGGUAAAGAAGUAACCUGGAUCUAAAGGAACACAAGGAACAGAUUCAGCAUCCCAGGGUUAUUUCGUCUCAGGACCAAAGGCAGGUGCUAGGAGGUGCCUUGAUUGCUUAUUGGUAUAACAGAUGUCAAUUCCCCUUGUCCCAGGAUGGAGUCUGCCUGAUUUUUCCAAGUCAUGAGGAAAUGGGGAAGGGAGACAUCUAGAAAUGUCACUAAAGACAAAAGAUUAUACUCACCCUAUUUUCUGCAUGAAGGAAUACAGUCUCACAAAUAAACCAUCGCUUUUUGAGAUGUGGCAGAGAAACAGCAUUCUCAGUCUACCACUCCCUCAGAGGACUCCAGGAGGAUGUGGAAUUGAUGCAUCAUCCCAGAAGCACUCUAAAGACUACCCGGCAGGACUUUCCAGCAGCCAGAGUGGACAUCCUAUAAAGCCUCGCUUCCCAUCUGGGUCACAAAAAGAUGGAAGAGACUCAGUGCUGUCUGAAAAACUGUGCAGCUCCUGA
rnacentral:lncRNA from 1 species